GAUGAACGCUGGCGGCGUGCUUAACACAUGCAAGUCGAACGGGAAACCUUUUAUUGAAGCUUCGGCAGAUUUAGCUGGUUUCUAGUGGCGGACGGGUGAGUAACGCGUGGGUAACCUGCCUUAUACAGGGGGAAAACAACCAGAAAUGGUUGCUAAUACCGCAUAAGCGCACAGGACCGCAUGGUCCGGUGUGAAAAACUCCGGUGGUAUAAGAUGGACCCGCGUUGGAUUAGCUAGUUGGCAGGGUAACGGCCUACCAAGGCGACGAUCCAUAGCCGGCCUGAGAGGGUGAACGGCCACAUUGGGACUGAGACACGGCCCAGACUCCUACGGGAGGCAGCAGUGGGGAAUAUUGCACAAUGGGGGAAACCCUGAUGCAGCGACGCCGCGUGAAGGAAGAAGUAUCUCGGUAUGUAAACUUCUAUCAGCAGGGAAGAUAGUGACGGUACCUGACUAAGAAGCCCCGGCUAACUACGUG
rnacentral:rRNA from 1 species